UGGGGAAUAUUGGACAAUGGGGGGAAACCCUGAUCCAGCGACGCCGCGUGAGUGAAGAAGUAUUUCGGUACGUAAAGCUCUAUCAGCAGGAAAGAAAAAUGACGGUACCUGACUAAGAAGCCCCGGCUAACUACGUGCC
rnacentral:rRNA from 1 species